AAAUUCAAAAGUAUCUCCAAGCUCAGCUGUCAAAUAUAUGUUAGAUGCUCAGCCAGUCGCCUUCAAGUACUUAAGCUACCCAAAUAUCAGCAUGAAAAAAAAAAAUCAAGCAGAUGAUUGUACAACCUCGCACACUGAUGCUAUAAUAGGAGAGGCUUAAAGAAAACAAUGUUGCCAUUCACAUCAGAGGAAAAAGGUUUGUGGAAAUACGCAAGGGUCCCCCUCUAGUCUAGCGGAACUAUUAAAGAGUAGGUAUGCAAGUACUGUAAUAGGUGUUGAUAUAAUUAUUUAAGUUAUAAUUGUAAAAGGAUAUGUCUUACUUCUACCAAAAAUACUACUCUUAUUCCUAAUUAUAGGUCGAAAAAUUUCUCUCCAUGGCCCAAAGCCAGAUGAACAGAACUUUGCCAAAGUAGUUAGUAGGUCGAAUACCUAAAUACAGACAUUUCUAUAUACCACAUUAUGACUUCUCCAUUUUGAUUUCCUCAAUAGUAACAUUAUCAGAGAGGGACACAAAAUAUUUCCUUAAAGGAGAACUGAAAUUGUUGUCGUGCGGUGGGGCACUAGGGAAAAAAAAAGGUGCAUCAAUUAAUGCUGCAACAACCUCACCACAGUCUUUUGCAAUGGCCCAUUUGGUAUUGAGGGCUGCUUAAUGCUAGGGGAGGAAAGGAGUUGGGACAAAAUCAUAUAGAGAUACUCUUCUUCGUUUUCUAGUGGGGCCAUAGAAAUUAUAUCUUAGCCAACUUCUUGCGAUAUGAGAAACAUGAUAUCACUCAUGGAAACAAAUGGAAAAUUUUCUAUCGUACUUUCUCAAAGCAAGUAAAGCAAUUUGCCCACAAUCCAAAAUGGAACUAAGAUAAAGUAGAAGAAUUCAAAAAUAGAGAAAACUAUUAAUCACCUGUAAAGCCAAUCCAUAGCCUCCGUUUGGUUCUGUUUCAAAGUACAGAAGCUGUCACAGUAACACAGAAGAGAUCAGCUAAUAUUAACAUAAUGGAAAGAGCAAAGAAAGAACAGAAGGUUGAUUUUAGCAUUCAACUUGGCAGCACUCAUACAAACGCAAGUUUCUGUACCUUAAAUUUACUUUGCGCGGCCGAGGUAACUCUAACAACUAUUCCUGCCUGGGCUUGUUGUUCAUUGAUUGUCACACCAAAAAAAUGAGCGCACUGCUUAUCGACCUAAAAAAAGAAUUGACGCUGGUCAGCAUAUUUUUCUUCCUUUUUUUUCUUUUUUCAUUUCAUUAGCUAGUUCGUAAAUAGAUGACAAACAUGGAAUACUCUUGAGGAAAGCUCACUGCAUAACCACCUUUCCAACGACUGAUGAUCCAAGAGGAAGCGGCCUAACUGUAACAGUUCCAUUAAUAGCUUCUUCAAGAACAGUAGCGGAUACGGUCGUCUUUAUAGGAACUCCCAGCUUGCUAAAGAUUUUAAAUAGUCGGCCAGAAAAAUUUCAAAUUGCUGUUAUAGAAACCAAGGAAUUAAACUAAAACUCUCUAGCCACCUGAAAAGUGCUGCAAACAUUGUAUUUACAGUUCCAAGGUUGGAUAGAUCAAUCUCCAUAUCCAUUCCUUCUCGUUCUAAAGCCUGAAUAAAAUAUUACGGAAGAAAAACAGUAAGAAAAUGCAUUGAUCAUAGAGGUUACUAAGCACCAAGUCACCAAGUGAAGGACAACUUAUUUUUGAAACUAGAAGUGUGCAAAUUAAAAAUAAAUGCAAAUAAUGGUCCAGAAAGAACCAAAGUACUUCAUUCUUACAACAAAUAACCCACAUUAGGCACUUCAGAUUUAACAAUAAAAGUAUGUGCAGCUUUUAAGACCAUACCAAUCAUUACCUUUCAAUAGUGACCACUGAAUCAUAAUAUCAUCGCUAUUAAGCAACUAAUUAUAUCGGGAAAGCAAAAAUAACAGUGGCGUAAGAGACAAUAGAACUGAUAUACCAAUUUAAACAUAUUCCUUCUUGAGUUAAAUCUAGAAACCUUUUGCUUCAGUGCAUUUUAUCCCCAUAAGAACAAGUGCAUAACCUAUAAUACCGGCAAUGGAAAUUAAAAGUUAAGCGAAAUCACUCUAUCAAUAAAGGAAACAAGAUUUUUUCUGUCAUAAAAAGUAUAGCGGACUAGUACAUAGUUUUUCCAAAAAAACUUUAUAAAAUAAAAAAAUAAAAAUAAAAAAGAUAGGUGACUGCACUUUAUAACAAUUUUAUCUAGGAUAAUGGGAAGAAAGCAAGCUCAGGGCCCAUUUUCGUUGCUGACACAGAUAUCUAUUUGUCUACGCUAGCCAAUGGAUCAUGCUCUAGAAAUUCAUCACCGAUCCUCUACCAUAUCUUCAAAGACUUUUUAUCUUUUGUUUCACAUAUACAUCAUUCUAGUCUUCUAGAUAAAUGAUAUAGAAGUCCAAUAUGAUGAGUAUUAUAUUAGUCAUAGUAGGCCACUAAGGUUAUUAUUAUCUUUCUCUUAGUCGUAUUAGAACUUUAGGUUUUGGGGAUAAAUAUGUGCCCUAUUUCAUUGCAAUGGUGCUUUUGGAUUAAUUUAGAGUUGAUGGCCAUUAUCAAUAGUAAUAUAAGAGUAGAAAAUUCAUCAGAGGCAUUGCGAUCCCUCAAAGAAUCAUGAUGUGUGUACAAAUGCAAAUUAUCCAAUAUCCAUUAGUUGAAUAGGCUGGAACUGCUAGUUUCCUGGAGAGCGAUUUGGAAUUAGUGCAGUCUACACAAAUACGGUGCCAUUGUUGAAAACUACAUAACACUUUAAGCUCAACUCGGCUCAUCCAUCAAUAGGUGUGGUCAGCUAAAUGAUUCCUCAAAAGAGUUCCUCGUAAAAAUCCUCUUUGUUUGCUCAGACAUCAUAUGUUAUAGCUAAAAAAGUUCCAGCUGAAUAAUUGUCCUCAAACAAAAUUUAUGAUACAAGCAAUAUCAUGAUUUCAGGAUUAUUGAGUCAAACCACUCUAACUCCAAACAUCUUCCCUUUGAACUCCACACCUUAAUUGUAGUUUUUACUUCUAUUGCAAUAAUACUUAUCUAGUCAAGCUCAUAAGCCCUCUACCAUAGCUUUUCUUUAUACACCAGUUUGAAGUUAGCCAUCCUAAAUUUACCAACUUUUCACCCGAGAAAACAGAAAAUUAUUAUACAAGUAUUAAAUGAUGCAAGGCUUGCUAAUUACGUCAUCUACACCUGAGUUUUCUCUCCCGUUCUUAAAAUUAAGUAAUUAAUAAUCAUACCAUUAAAGAUGAUAAAAUUAAGUCUCCUUCAUACAAUUGAGUUACCAUUAAAAAAACAGAUGAGAUAUGACAAAACCUCUUUCAAAGCUUAAUUUUGAUUAGCUUGAUUUGAUUGACAGGAUAAGCAGAUUGAAGCAAAAACAAAGCAUUUAUAGAGAAAUCAAAUCAGCAUGGAAAAUAAAAUAGAUACUUGAAUAUGUUUUGUAUAUAUAAUUAGAAAAACAAUUACCUCAAAGCCAGCAGUAUCAUAUUGUCGCCUUUUCUCUGGAUCAGAUAGGAUGCUAUAUGAAUAUGCAACCUCUUUGAAAAGUUCCGAAGCUUCAGGAUUGCUCGCAUUCUUAUCAGGGUGAUACCUGUAUUACCCAUGACAGAAGUUACAAAAGCUGUACUUCGCAAUUAAUUAGGAGUUAGAACUUAAUAUGAGUAUAUAAUUUUAUGCGAAUGCCUCGGUAGAUGCAUGGUGACUGAUCAAGAGGGAUAGCCAACACACGUGUUCAGCAUAAAUUAAAACACUUGCGGACCAAGUUCAAUUGAAUUACGGCCAUAAUCCUACUGCUAAAAAGGCCAUGUCAGGGUGAUCACUUGGUACAAGGAAAAAUGUCCCAUAACAAGUUAAGAGCAACAAUAGAAAUGGCUUCAAUCCUAGUUAAUUAGAUUUGAGAAUAAGUAUGAGUUUAAAUUUCUUCAACAUAGGCACUGAAACAUUGUACAGUACGGCAAACUAUGGUGGUGGCCGUCACUAGAAAAUCAUACCUUCUUUUUUGCUUACAGGCAUGACAAAUUACUCACUCCUUGAGAACAUUUAUGCUGUUUACCAUACAUAUGCAGACGUAAAAUAUUUAAUUAUCAUGCAUACAUUUGCGUGAAUGCAUAGAUUAAAUCGAACAGGAAUUGUUUUCUGAAGCACCAAAUGCUGGUGCUUCCAUUUUUAUUCAUGCACCAAAAGCACAUCGAGAUCUAAAUGUGCCCACUCUCACAUGAUGCACAUCAAAAUUCCCACACUGUUUUCAUGCAUGAAUCACAAUAUGCAUCAAACAUCGAUCUCACAUAAGAAAAAUCAGUGCCAAAUGUUUUCUGCAUGAGAUACAUCCAUAGUUAAUUCGUGAAUUAUUCACGAAUUAUUCGCGAAUUUUUUAAAAUCCGAAUUAAACGGCCGUUUUCAAAUUUUUCCCAAAAAUUCGGAAAAAAAGGGGAUUUUUUUACUAAAAAUACGUGUUUGCGUAUUAUACGGCGAGCCGAAUUAUUCGGCCAAAAAAAAGGGAUCGCGCCCGCACCGCCCGCGCCUGCCCGCGCUCCCGCACGCUCCCGCAUGCGCUUGCCGGCCGGCUGGCCCAAAACAGUAAAAUACAAAAAAAAAAUCUUUUCGAAUUUUUACUUAAUUAGCUUAAUUUUGUAGCUAUUUAUUCUUAUAUGUUUAAAAGAUAUGAAUAUUUAUGCUAAUAGAAUAAAUUUUGAGAGAAAAAAAAUUUAAUUUAAUAGCCGAAUUUUUUAUCCCGAAUUUUUAAUUGGUAAACGCAUGGUUGAAGGUGCCGCCCCGUGCCGUACGGCACGGGGCGUAGCCGUUAACUUGGACCCCGGCGGCCCUGGGUGGCCUUAGGGCGGCACAGGCGAGCGCCGUGCCGCUCGAAGAUCAAAAGCGGGCCAGCGCAUGUGCCGCAGCUGUGCCCGCGUGCCGAGCCUUCUUUUUUUUUUUUUUUUUAAUCUAUUUUAUUGGAAAACACUUUUUUUUUUUUGUUUGUAUUUUUUUUUUUGUUCUCUGGGAUACCACCGAGGGUCCGAACUACCCCUAGGCCAUUAGUAUGGCCUUUUGUUCACUUUAUCUUUUAUUUCUUUGAGCAUUGUGUGUCUUUUUGUCCAUACAUUAUUCUUUUUUCUUCUAUUUUGGCUGCAUAGCCGUUUUUUUUUUCAUUUUGAAGCCUUUCUGGCCUUUUUCUUUAUUAUAUAUUCACUUUGUUUCUUUUCGUUAAUAACAAUUAUAAUUAUUCAUUAUUUAACAAUGAAUAUUUAAAGCAAAUUUUUAAGAUUGAUAAAUUCGAAGAAUAUAUCUACUUGCGGGCGAGCCCCCGCACACCCCCCUGGAUGUUAGUCGGUGCCGGCCUACGGAAGCCAGGCACUAGUUGGCGCGCGAGCCCUCCGCUUCGACCCACAGGGCAUGCGCCCCGCUGUCCAUAUUUUUCUGAGAGUCGCAAAUUAUGUUUUUGGUCAAAAUUUGUCCCGCGCGAAAGUUUUCAGAGAUGAAUCAGCGGGAACACAAAAAUUGAUCUCCUAAACAAAUUUUGAUGUAAUAUUUUUAAAAGAAUAAAAAAAAUAUGAUGUAAUUGACAGUACUUUCCGGUUGCUUCUAGGUUAUUAUAUUACUUCCUAAUCGAAUCAAUAUAAUAGAUCUUUGAAACACGAUGUUUUUAGAAAAAAGAUAAAAGUUUUGCUAAUCAUUUUAUCUGUUAUACACAUUUUUUAAAAUUACAAAAAACGUAAAACAAAAGAAUUUCAAUUGUUACACAAUCAGCAGAUCAGCGCAAGAAUUAUAUGCAAAUCUGAUAUUUAAAAAAAAAAUUAAAAACACAAAAGACAAGAGUUUUAUUAAGUUAUAACUUCUACUAAGACAAGUCAUUAUAAAUGUUGUACUUUAUAAAGUAGCAAAAAAUCACACACAAAUGAGCCAUUACAUCAUGUUAAUCCAUUACCCUGAUACGAGUAUGAUAGUAAGUCAUACAUCAGACAAAAUUCAGAUAAUCCAACUUGCGUAAAUUUUCAAUACAUAUAACCCACUUAAAACCAGCCCUUACUGGUAAAACCAACCCUACAAAAAUUAAAAUUAGCAUUUUAGUAAGAUUCAGCCAAUAAGCGUCAGCCAGGUCCCACCAGGAGUCAUUCGUUCGCAUAUCUAGUACGGAUACGCUAGAGUACCACACGGUCGCCGCCCGCGUGCCGUCCAGCCCGUACGUCGCCGGACAUGGUUAGCGGCACAAACCACAAUACCACACCACCCCGCUGAGUGACUACAUUGGGAGUAGUACAAGCAAUUACCCAUGACCAAGAUACAGUACGCCGCCUGGCGGAUCCGGGACUCUCCUGCAGCCCUUGCAGAGCCUGCACCGUAGAUCGCACGCCCUUUAGCCUUGGGUAAACGUAUAAUAUCCGUAUAAAUCACGUAUCCAAAUAAUUGAUGAAUCCGUUUUUUAGCCCUUUUUUUCAACGAAUUUAAAAAUUAGAAGACGAAUUUUAUCCGAAUUAUACCUGUACCGAAUUUUUGCCGAAUCUGAAUUAACUAACUAUGGAUACAUCACAAUGAUUGCACUCUUUGUAUAAUAAGUCUAUAAAUUGGCAUGGUCAUAUUUUGGAGUCAGAUUCUGCGAACAACAUUUCUGAUACUAUUUUUAGCGGAUCCCAUACACAAAGAUUGAAAAUAAGUGUAGGUUAAAUAAUUCAUUGAAGUCACAAUAUUUUUUUUGAUAUAUAUUUUUAAGGUUAAUGGUAGAGACUAAUCCCAGUUUACUCUCCAAAAAAGAGAAGGAAAAAAAAAGCAUAAUUGUAGAGGUCAUGAUUUGACAACACUGAAACUGUUCUUCAUAAUCAAAUAAACCAAAAGAGGAUCUUCACUCUCAUAAUCUAUGAUUGUAAGCUAUAUACAUGUAAAGGAAAUCAAAUCCAUUAGUAAUGAAUGUUAAUAUACUAAAAAAAAAUCAAUUGUUUUGCAAUCUUGGAGGCAAUUGAACUCUUUAAGCAAAGCAUCCACAGUAUGCUCCAUCUGCCAUCCGGUAAAUGUCUGCAUAUUGUGAUUUCUUUAUUGUUCCAACAUCAAAUACUUUAGAUACGUACACUCAAGCACACAUCCCUGAUUUGUCCAUGCAACCUUAAUGGCAAACUAAUUUAUCAACAACAAACAUAGCUGGCAUAAAAGGCCAGAUUUUCAUCUAACAGCACAAGGAGAAACUCAUGAACACCAUUUUAGACCAUACCCAACACCAAGAGUAAAACUCAACUAAAUUACAAGGAGAUGGAUGAGAUUUAAAAUGCUGAGCUAUGGUACAAGUCAUGCAUGUUAUAAUAGUCGUAUAACUAAAACAAGAAAAAAGAGAGAAAGAUGAAGAAGAAAUGAAUCCAGUACUUGCUGGGAUCAUUUGAUUGUUCAUAAAGCAUGCAAUGCAUCUUUGCACUGAUACUGAAAGUACAAGAUUAAAAUCAAGCAUAUCUAAUAGAAAAAAACUUCUACUAUCUGAAGGCACGGCCACAGGAAACAACAAAAUUUUGUGAGUCUAAAUAAUAGCUAACUCUUAAAAAAUGCAAGGCUGUCUGGCGUAAACUCAAGCUCCUAGAACCAAGAUGUUGCAUUAUAAAACACUUAUAGAAACUAAAACGAAAGCAUAUAAGAAAAGGGAUACAAACAAAAAGAGGAUGCGACUAUAAUAGAUAUGCGAUGAAAGAGUCCGAUGAACUGUUAAAGUGGGUUGCAAAUUAGCAAUCCAUCCAGAUUCUUAAUUCAGCUUUUGUCAGAUAUCAAUUUAUUCAUCGUCAUGUGGCUUUAAUCUGGAUCUUGUAUUUGAAUAAAUAACAGUUGUCCUUAUAAGUAUAUUAUUAUGUCAGCAUUCUAUCUGAAUAGAAGACACAAGUGAUAAAUAAGAGAAUACUAAAGAUUCGAGCUAUAGAAUUUCUCAAUUCCAACACAACUACACAAGGUACUCGUUAAAUCGAAUAGAAUGAUUUUGUCUUUUUUUUUUAAAUCCCAAAUUUAAACUAUAAAGAAAAAAAACUAACGAGUCGCACACCAAGCAUAGCAAUUAUAACAAAUGAUCAAUCGAAUUUUUAUUCAUCCUCUACAUAAUAAGAUUUGUUCUUUUUGGAAUGGAAAAAGAAUGAAAGAGUUUGCCAUUUUUUGUUCUAUCAUUGGACAAAAUCGGAAGACAAGGUCAAUUAUUCCUCGUCUACAAACAACCAUCACAUGAUGGCCCGAACAGUUUAGCUACGCAAUUCACACCCUUAAAGGCUCAAACUUUCAGGAACAAGUUCUAGAUCGUCUUUACCUCAAGAACAAGAAUGAAAGGAGUCUCAAGAUCUCUAGCAGUAGAAGCUAAAAGUUGAAUCUUUUCUUUUCCUCCUUCUAGCUUUAGCGAAAGGUUUUCAAGUAUUUCUAAAGACAAAGUUGUUUGGGUUCUUGACCAACUCUAGUAAUUUUUACAGCAAUUUCUCAGAGUACUGAUAUCACAGAAUAUAACAAAAAUUAGUUCUAAUGUGGAUAAACAGAGUGAAUAGAAAAAUUUUGAGAAGCUAGCAACUUGUGCUACUAUGCUGGCCAUAGCACUAUCAAGGCUUUGUUUGCGAGUAAGCUUCUGCGAAUCACCUUGUGGCUCCCAUGCACAUUGCAAGACAGAGGUUGUUUGGCUGAAAAAAUAGGACCGCAAAAAUCUGCGGUGAUUUGAGCAGCUAUGGCUUGUCAUGGAAGAAUCUUCUUCCCAUCUACGGUAAAGAAAGAAUCUGGGUAGAUACAUUCACAAAAGUUGUAUUAUGCUCCAAUGCCACAGCCGGAAGACAAGGAAAUGUGCUCCUAAAAGGACCUCAAGUAACUAGAGUCACAAUUGGUGUCGUGGAUAACUAGAGUCACACUGAGGGCGUGUUUGGUUCGAAGUAGGAGUCGGAAUCGGAAUCGGAAUCAAAAUAAGCUGGAAUCGGAAUCGGAAUCAGAAUGACUCAUUAGCUAAUUCUGUUUGGUUCAUCGCCUGAAUCGGAAUCGGAAUAAAUUAUUCCCAUUGUUGGUGUUUGGUUCAGGUGGAUAUAAAAAACGUAAUCAAAUUAAUAUAGUAAUAUUAUCUUUAUAAUAUAUUAAUUUAAAUUCAAAUUAAAAAUUAAAUAUUAAAAAUUUGCAUCAAAAUUUUAAAAUAAUGUCAAAAUUUUAAAUCUAUUUUUUUAAAAAAAAUUAAACUUUGAAGUUGAGUGGAUAAUUCAAAAUAUGAAACUAAAUUUUGAUUUAUUCAAAUUCAAAAUUAAAAUUACAAUUUAAAUUUUAAUUUGAAUCCAUAAAUUUAAUUUAAGUUUGAAAUAAAAUUUGAAUAAAACUUUAUAUAAAUUAAAAUUUAAUUUAAAUUCAAAUUCAUAAGUUAGAUUCGAAAUAUUUGAUUAAAUUUUAAUUUUUAAUUUAAGUUCAAAUUAAAAUUUAAAAUUAUAUAUUUAAUUUUUAAAUUUUAACUCAUAUUUUAAUUAAAAAAAUUUAAAAAAUAAAUUUAAUCCGAAUAAAUAUACAUUCCGUCCGGAUUCAACUUCCAAUCCGGCCUCCUAGGCCGAAUUGAAAAAAGAGGUGAUUGGGGGAUUCCAUUCCACUCGGGAAUCGGAAUCGGAAUAGGACUCCUAAGUACCAAACACCCACAAACGGAUUCGCCCAUUCCGAUUCCGAUUCCAGGGUGAAAAAGAAGCGAACCAAACACGCCCUGAAAGUCAUGUCAUGUCAACCUUGUUCGAAAAUGGAGGAAGAGAAGUAACAAGAAUUGUAGCAUACACAUGACAUAAGUAAAUAGAAAAGGCUUCUAGCAUUUUAUUCUCAUACUAGAACCACUAGUAAUGUCAAAAUUUUCAAUUGAAGCAAAUUUUCCCAUCUUUUUUACCAUAUGCAUUCCUCUCCUAAUCACAAUUGAGAAUAAAAAGAACAGAACAUCUCAAAAGAGCUAAGCGGUUGUUGGUGAUUCAAUUCAGCGCACAUGCUAUCAUAUUUGGUCAAUCGAAAGUUCUAAAACAACUCUACAGAAAUCAAUGGCAAAAAUGGUAUAACAAUUUUUUUUUAGAAAGACUGAAGGGAUAGCUUUUUUUUUCAUUUCUUCCUUCAUGAGAUGAUAUUUCUUAACUAAUUCAUCAAACAAUUAGGAAAAGAGAAAUGCAACAACCUGUUUCUGCUCCAACAGUACUCCCAUUCUACUUUAAACUUUUUCUUGGUUCCAAUAUCCAAGAAAACAAAUAAGCACAUAGUAAGCACAUAACUUCUUGUAUACUUUCUUUACGCAAACCAUCAUUCGGUUGAAGAUCAUCUAAAAUAUAACUCUAGAAUUAUUAUAAGGCCAAAAAAAGGACCCAAAAACAAUGAUGAAAGAGCAAAUUAAAACAACAGAGAGCAUAACAUUUAGGCCCAAAUGCAUGAACAUCUUGUCCAGCAUAUUUCUUCACUUAAGAAGCAGCUUGUAGUGUUUGGUUUCUCGAUUGGCGUAACACGUUCAUCUUAUACGACUAAGAUUAAUGACCUUGUAGAUGAAAUAUGCUAACAAAAAUCAAACUACUAGAUCCCGUGUGGUAUCAUUUGCCAUUCCUUUGGUUUUCUUUAAACACCAAUUAUAUAUAACUUGAUACACUGAUGCAAUGACUCUCCUCUUGUAGGCGUGGCUAGUUAGCUUGUAAUAGACUCCGGCCAAGUGAUGAACAACAACUUAUUUUUUAAAUAAAAUCUUGCAAGCAAAAUAAAAAGUUGCUUUCAAGUUUUUGUUUUCCGUCGCCAAAUAAAUGCAUUGAAUGUACGCAAAUGCAAGCAAUCCACCUAGCUUUCCGUCACAAAAAGCUCAUCAGAGAACAAUUUAUUUGGACAUCCAAGAUUACGUGAACAUGAUCUAAAUCUAGCAAAUCAUCAUUAGACCCAAAAAUCCAGAAAAAAGAAGAAAGGAAAACAAUGUCGAAAUAGCAGAAGGCAUAUACAACAAUUACAGCCAGCCAGCAGCCAGCCAGCCAGCCAGCCAGGCAGCCAGACAGGUAAGAAGGCAAGAGAGAGAGGAAUGAGGAGGUGAGGGGAGUGCUGACUUGAGGGCGAGCUUCCGGUAGGCGGACUUGAUCUCCUGAUCGGAGGAGUCUCGCGAGACGCAGAGCACCUCGUACGGAUCCCGCCUCGCCGACGGCGCCGACGGACCCUCCUCCACCUUCCCCGACGACGCCAUCCCCUAUCACCGCCCUCCUUCCCAGAUCCAAAAUCCUCUCCCGCUCCCGCUCUCCCUCCCUCUCUCUCUCUCUCUCUCUCUCUCUCGCUCUCUUAUUCUCUCCCACAAUUCCACAACAAACCCUAAUUCCUCCUCCUCCUCCUCCUCCUCCUCCCCCAAUUCAAAAGCAAGAAACAAGGAGCAGAUCAAAACGAGUUUUUUCUAUUUAUUUUUAUUUAUUUUUCUUGGGGUUUUUUUUUUUUGGGUAUCCAAAUCUAAUAUCUCCAAAUUAAAGGGGGCUUCGGUGUUCUCGGAUUUGUAUUUUUUCUCUUUUUUUUUCUUUGUUUGGUUGUUUUAAAAAGGGCUAAUACCUGCACCGGAAUCAAGAAGAAGGGUUGAAUUGGGAACGGGAAUGCGCUCGCUACGGUUCGUUUGAGAGGCAGGUAAUCGACGGCGUAUGUUGCCCGGCCCAACAAAAACCGGAUCGAUCCGAUGGGCCGCCCAACCGACCAGUCAAACCGUUUUACAUCCUAGGUUGUUAGUUUGAAAACUUUUCAAGGGGAAUGCUACUUACACUACUAAUUUUUGAGUGUGAAUUUUAUUCGGCUUUUUUGAAAGAAAAAAAAUUCAUUGGUUUUAUGCUUUUGCAAAAGCGGGUCAUUAUUUUGGAUUUUAUAAGUCUGGUCCUUAUAUUCAGGAAUCUGACCAAAAUGCUUGUAUGCCUAAUAUGCGUAAAAAAAUGUUCCUACGUAUCGAGAGUGCUGUAUGGUCCAUUCGCGUACGCCGAGGAUAGAGAUUGACGGUUAGCGAGGAUAUGUCACCUUUUUGUCGGGACCUGCAUAGGUUGCUGUCGACAACGCCAUUCCCGAAUUUCUAUUAGCUCUCCUCGUUGUUUGCAGUGUAGAAAAAUUCGGAUAAAAGGUAGGCACGAUAAUUUUUAAAAAUAAACAUAGAAUGGGAACCACAAAUAUCAUUCUAAAUAGUGCAACAAAGGUUCAAAUAGUGCAACAUUUUGAUGAAGUAGUAUGAUAUCUCGCUUAAUUGUGUAGUUGCUCUCAACAAUGUUGCAAUACAACUCCAAGUAGAAUAUCAACCUUCUUCCUCCUCCUUCUUUCUUUAGUCUUUUUCUUCUUCUUCUUCUUCUAUGCUCCUUUUGCAAAAGCACAAAAUUGGGUCGUCUUUUUGGGGAUGACAAAUAGUGCAACACUAGUUUAAAAUAGUGCAACAAAUUUUUAAAUAGUAGGCUCAGAUCUGGAUAGUUGAUAUGCUGUACCCGUACCUUAAAAAGAAAUGGGUAGAAAAAACUAUAUAUAUCCUACCCAUUUGACUUCGAAUCAAGUCCAAUAAAAUACGUUUAAAAGAAAGAUUCAAACAGUAAACAACUAGGUAAACAAAUAAAGAGUAAAAUUAAAAAAUGAAGUAAAUAGAGCAAGUAGGGUUUUUACUAGGAUGGGGGACCUAUUCAUCGUGUUCGAUGAUUUGUAUGAGGGUAGGCUGUCCACCGCCCCACUUGACUACUCCUUGAUAUGUCUAAUCCCCAAGAAGGUAGGGCCGGGGAGAGCAAAUGACUUUCGACCUAUCAGUUUUAUUAAUGGUAUUCAAAAGAUCAUCUCGAAGGUACUAGCAAAUCGUAUUGCAGCCGUGAUGAACGAGCUAAUUUCGCCUUCCCAAUCAGCAUUCCUGAAAGGAAGGAACAUCACCGAUGCGUAUGUCACAGUCUCAGAACUAAUAGGUUGGGGCAGCAAGCAGUGCAUCGAGGGGGUCGGCAUUAAAGUGGACUUUGAGAAGGCUUACGAUAGGAUUCAUUGGCCUUUCAUGUUCAAUAUUCUUCAAUGGUGGGGAUUUGAUGCGAAAUGGUGUGGCUGGAUUAAACAAUGCGUAUGCAAUGCUAAAGUAGCUAUAUUGGUCAACGGAGAGGCGACCAAUUGGAUCAAAACCAAGAGAGGGGUGCGUCAAGGCGACCCAUUAUCACCAUUCCUGUUCUUGCUAGUUGCAGAAUGCCUCGCUGGAUUAACCAGUAAGGCCACUGCUAACAACCUCUUCAAGGGGUUGGCCCUUCCGACGAGAGUACAAUGACCCUUACGCAAUUUGCGAAUGAUACUUUCUUCUUCUCACUAGCUAGGAGAAGAUUUAUGAGAAACCUCAGGCUGAUGUGGCGUCUAUUUGAGGAGGCUUCCGAUAUGAAAAUCAACAGGGAGAAGUCGGAGUUAUAUUACCUCGGAUAGAAGGAGCGCAAAGCGGCAAGACUAGCGAGAUUGCUCAAUUGCAAGAUUGGCACUUUCCCAACUUCCUACCUAGGUUUCCCCCUUUCCCCAAAGCCGCCCACAAAGGAGACCUGGAAGGGGGUUAUCCAGAAAGUACAACAUAGAAUCGAUGGAUGGCAAGCAAAACUCCUCUCAAGAGGGGGUAGGCUUAUCCUGGUCAACGCUGUGCUAACCAACCUUCCUCUAUACUUUCUAUCCGUCUUCAAGGCACCCUGUUGGGUGAUCAAGCGCAUCGAAGCCCUACGCAGAGAUUUCUUCUGGAACGGUCAGAGUGAUUCCAAACGAAAUGGGUGUCUAGUUGCCUGGAAGAACGUCUGGUGAGCAAGAUGGCAAGCGGGUUAGGCAUACUGGAUGUUGCUAACAUGAAUCAGGCGCUCCUGGUCAAAUGGUAGUAGAGGUUUCACACAGCACCUCAUCUACAAUGGACCAAGAUAAUCCGUACCUUAUAUUACCAAAGAAGACGACCUCUGUGGGAGGGAAAUUGCUUCAGACCUCUCUCACACUAGUGGAAAGGAGUCCUAACCACCAACGCUUUCUUCAAAUGGGGAAUCAACUAUAAGCUGGGUAAUGGGAGGUCCAUCGACUUUUGGUCGAACAGAUGGUGUGAGGAUACCACACUCCGAACGUCCUUCCCGGAGGUCUUUGCAUUAUUGGAAGGCAACCCAAGACCGGUUAAGGACUGCUUUGGAUGUGAGGACUGGAACUGGAAUAGGAUCCUGGGAGAUGUGUUGACCUCUUCGCCUGGUCUGGGGUCUGCCAUUUCUGCGCUCAAGGAUAGCGUCGGUAGCUUUAAGGUAGGUCACCAGGUGGAUAUGAUAGGGGUGGAGGUGGUGUAGCAACGGUAUAUUCACUGUUAAAUCGGCCUAUAGAAUGUUAAGCGAUGAGGGAACGAGGGAUGGACAUGCUAGUAGGAUCUGGAGACUCCGAAUACCGCUCAAGGUUAAAGCGUUCGGAUGGAUAGUCCUUAUGAAAAGACCUCUUACAGCUGAUAACCUCGUAAAGAGAGGGUGGACUAGGGAUACUACCUGUGUGUUGUGUAGGGCCCAUGAGGAGUCAGUAAAUCAUCUGUUCACUCAAUGCAUCUUUAUCAAGUACAUCAUGGUGAUGGGGCUCGAAGAUGUGUAGACGGAGGAGCUGGGAGAUGAUGUACAUAGAGUAUGGGAUAGGUAGAUGGGCGGGUCUGGUGCGCGAUCUAGGAGUAACGGACUGUCUGCGCUGGUCGCAUGCUGGUGGACGAUCUGGAAGGCCAAGAACAAUGUUAUAUUUCGAAAUUUACAAUUUGACCUUGCUUUAGCCGUUCUAAGACUCAAGAUGAUGAUAUCAUCGUGGAAAGAUCUCAUACGAUAGGCCCUUUUCUUCUUUCUUUUUUUUUUUUUCCUGUUGCUACUUUUUCUGAGGCCCUGGAUGCCUCACCUUUGUAGCCAAAUUCAUCCAUUCAAUGAAUGAAGCAGGUAGCGUGCUACCUAAUCUCUAAAAAAAAAGAAAAUAUAUAGAGACCCUUCAUCUAUAAGUCCUACUAAAAUUGAUCCCUCAACUUUAAAUUUUUUUUAUUUACUAUAUGGUAUUUUACUGGAUCCAGAUUUGGGUUCGGGUCCGAAUCCGAAUUUGAACUCUUCCAGACCUUACCCAUUAAAAGGUAGGGUUCGGGUUGGGUUCUAGACAAGUAUGGGUAUAAAGUAUCCAGUUCCAUACUUGAAACUUUAAUAGGUAAUGUUUUUUACCCAUAUACUAUCUAUUUUUUUAUCGGGUUUGAUUCGUGUUCGGGUGCGGGUAGGGUUCAGAUCGGUUAUAGGAUAUUGGAUAUUUUGGACGGCUUUAGACGGAACCUUGAUGGAGAGGGGCUAAAUACUACAACUUGGAAUGUUGAGAGGGGAUAAAAUAUAGGUUUUUAAGUUAGAGAGAAAAAGUGAAAAAACGAAUAUUUGUAAGAGGGUUUCUGUAAUUUAGUUGAAAUUUAUUCCAGCUUUUUUUUUAAGCUGUUGUUGAACUUACUUAAUAAGUUCUUAUUGAAUUUAAUUCUACAAAAACUUACAAUGUGAUCAAAUUUAAUAUGAAGUAAAACUUGACCAAAAAAUAGUAUUGUGUUUCAAAUGUUUUUUUAUAUAGUAUAUUUUUGUAAAAUAUUAAGCAUAUUUUGCAGAUGGAAGGUACGGGCAAAAUUAACAUUUUGAAGAUUUAACCAUUAUCUUUUCUCAUUAUCCUCUACUAUGCCACAAAAGUAACGAAACAUAAUUUUAGCUAUUUCCAAGAAUCUUAGCUUUAUAAAUCAAACACAAUAUUUUACUUCUACUCUUGGCUAUCCUAAAAUAGUAAACUAUUUCAAGAAUUUAAAAAAAUUAUAUACCAAUGAAAUUUAUAUCAGAACCAAAUGGGGCCUAAAACUUCAGAGGCUAGCAUUGUAGGUUAAUCAAAAGAUAGUUCAGCAGGAAAGCUUCCUGGGAAAGAUUUAUAAAGAGCAAUUUAAUAUCCUGGGAAGACCAAGUCCUCUGGACAGAAUAUAGAAACUUCCUGCCAACAAUGACUUUUCUCACUUCAUUGCCUUACACAAUUAUCUCAAUCUUCCAGUGAAAGAUAUAUGAUCAACCUCUUCACAAGUUGUUUAACUUUUUGACAAUUUCAAUUGUAGAAUUGAGUGAUAAUUAAACCUAUAAAUAGACAAGAUGACUCCUCUCAACACAACAACAGCAUCAACAACUUAAAAAGGGUCGUCUGAAACAAGUAGAGAAAAUUAAUCAACCAAAGAUGAACCCCAACCUCCCCCAGUCCACCCUUCUCCAACCAUUCCAAUCCCUCUCCAUCCCCCCCACCACAGCAAGCCUCGACUUCGGUCGCGAAUUCGCGGCAGGCAAAGCUCCGGAGGAAAUCGUAUCGAUCAUCAACCGCACAUUGGAGUCUUACGGUAGCUGCAAGAUCAAGAGCUUCUCUCUGUUCUUCGGCCCGCUCGAUAUGUUCCUCUCCGACAUCGAAAACUGGAUAGAAUUUGCUAUAUCGCAGGUGGUCGAAGAGCUUAAUCUCGACUUUUCCAUGGGGUGGUCUGACCCUCCGUGGAAUGAAGAGUUCAACAUCGAGGACUACGUAAUGAAAUUACCGACAUCUUUGUACUCGUGUGAAUCAUCGACACACUUAAGCCUAAGCCACACCGAUUUCUGCCCGUUGGCCAACUUUUGUGGGUUUGAUCAUCCCCAAUUCUUGUCGCUUCGGCAUAUGAAGAUCACGGAGGGCGCCCUCCCAUCUAUCCUAUCAAAAUGUCCCCUUCUUAUCAGCUUGAGCCUCAGAGAUACACACUCUACCGAGUCGAUCAGAGUUUUUAGCCCCGAACUUUUACUAGAGAGAUUGGAGAUCAUAAGGUGCGGUUACACCACGGAGUUCAGAAUCCUUGCACCCAAGCUCAAAUCAUUCAUUUUUAACAGCGGACUCUUCUUCGAUGACGACUCCUUCGCCGAUAUCUCUUCUUUAGAGGAUGCUUUCGUAAAUUCGAUAGAAUUCGAAGCUUGGGAGCCUGAAGACGACUAUGUAAAGAUAAUCUCCGAUCUCUCGCAUGUUAAGAUCUUGACUGCGUGCAUGACGACUCUAAGGGUACUUUUUCUUUACCUUGUACUUUCGAUCCAAAUUUACUUCAAUAAUCGUCGGAUGCCUGUAUGAAUAUUAUCUAAGUUAACAUUUUUUUACUAUUUCUUGAUCUCUCUUUUUUGUUUUUUGUUUUUUGUUUUUUUUUUUGGAGUUCUAUGUUUGUAAAGAAUUUGAUGCUGAAAAUUUGGCGGUUAAGCUACCAAACUUGCGAGAGCUGCAGAUACUUAUGGACUUGAUGAGCAGCUACACUCUCGAAGUUCCCUACAGCUUUCUAUGGUUUUGUGAAGCACCAUUGCUUGAAAAGCUAUUCAUUCAGGUGAUUGCAUAUGCUCUUUUACUAAGGAGAAGAACGCACUAACAAAUCAAAUUUGAUACCUCAGUCUUAGCAAUUCAUCACUUCUUGAAUAUAAAUGGUACUAAAUGACGGCAUGAAGUGUGUACAAAUAUUUCACGCUGCAGUGAAAAUGAAACAAUUGAUAAGUGAGUCAAAUUGAAUCUUCACUCUCUAAUUUGUCAUCUCGCACUACACUUGACUCGGAAUCGAGUUACGCAAUGCAAUUUCCGAAAGCUCCAACUUUAGAGUUAUCGCGCACCGCUAUAUUCUGUAAAAGCGAGGUACACUAGGUCCCGAAAAGUGUUACUUCCUAAUAGACCGCUUCUAUGGUGCCGCACUGCAUAUAUACAGAAGUUGGUCAAAAUAGGCCUCAUUCUUUCUUUAAGAUGAUUGUGUUUUGUUUUGCAGCUAACGACGGCGCCUGAGGACUCCGAGUAUAAUAAUAUUGACCUGCAAGAACCACCGGGUGUUCCCUUUAAUCAACUCAAGGUGAUCAAACUAAGCAGUUUCAAAGGGGGCAAUAAUGAAAUGAGACUGGUGAAGUUUCUUCUUGAAAGGGCUCCUGUGCUAGAGAAGAUGCUUAUAGUGCCUGCUCCAAAAGCUCUUCUGAAGGAGGACAUCAUCAGCAAUGAACUGAAAAGUGAACUCCCUUUGUUGCCCAAAGCAUCUCCUCAAGCUACCAUAGUCUUGUGUGAACACUCAUCAGAGGAGGAUGAUGAGGCACUUAUUCCUACCCACAAAGAGCUCUACUGUGAAUUCUAGUUGUCAGAUAAUAUUCUUGGAUGAGAAAUUAGCUGCUUCAAUAAUCAUAUAUAUCAUAUAUAUAUAUAUCUAAUUUUGGAAGCAUGAUUUUCAGAGUAAACCACAAGCCGUCAUUUGGCGCAUUUUCAUGAGAAGUUCUAAUAUAACUUGAUACUAGUAUAGCUUAUUGUGUUCCAAUAUUAUAUAUAUAAAGCAGUUAUGAGAAGUUCUAAUAUAACUUGAUAAUAGUAUAGCUUAUUGUGUUCCAAUAUUAUAUAUAUAAAGCAGUUUCAUGAAAAAUUUCAAUAGGUAAUAAAUUACUCAAAAAUUAUAACUAAAAGUUAGUAACAACACUCCCAUUCAUCGCAUGGGUCAAUUGCUAGUGUUAUUAAUUUUGGGUGUUAUAUAAACAUCUACUUGGGAGAAGUUUGCAAUUAGUCAUUUAUGUGUAAUAAAUUGGUGACAUUCAGAAUUAUGAUGUUGUUAUAUAUAUUUUUGAGUCAGCUCUUUCAAGUGGUUUAAAUUGGCUCUAGAUCUAAGAUCUCAUUAUAUAAAAGAAAAGAUUCCAAAUGCAAAAAAAUCCCCUAUAAAGGCAUUAUCUUUUCACUUUUCUCUCACUGAUAAAGAAAAUAUGUAGAGUUGAAAAUUCUCUUUUAAUCUCUAUAUUGUUAUUACUUAACUUUAUUAUUAUUUUAUCAUCCAUAAAAUGAUGGAAAAACAUUUCAAUAUUAUAUUAUAGGUCAAUUAUAUGUCCUAUAUAAUAGAAAAGUAAUUUCCAAAUAUCUUCUACUCUAGCCCCAAUCAAUUUUCGGUUUUUUCGGCACAUCUAUUUAUAUAUAUAUAUAUAUAUAUAUAUAUAUAAAAAUUGGUGGCAGGCGGGCGGACGCGAGGGGCGGGCACAAGUGGUGCGAGCUGGGGCGCGAACGGACAAGCGAGCGGGCGGGCGCGUGGCGGCGGGUGGCGCGAGCGUGCGCAGCGGGCGAGCCCGGCGCGGGCAGGCGCGAGCCGCCGGCGCGGGCAGGGCGCGAGCCGGUGCGGACUCAAGCCCACGCGGGAUUUUUUUUUUUUUUUUUUUUGUCUUUUUUCUGUGGGACCCACUCCUAUCUCUCUUUUUUUGUUUUUCUUUCCUUUCUAACCCUUCUUAUUUUAGAGUGUUAUUGGCCACAUACAAAAAAUAAAUUUAAAUUUAAAUUUAAAAUUUAAAAUUAAAUUUAUUAUUAAUGAUUUUUGAAUGUGUUGCUUAACUUUAUAUAUUUAGUUAGUAUAUUUUAUGUAAUUGUUGUAAUUAAAUAUAUUUAAAAAAACUUAAUUGUAGUGUUUUUUUAUAAAAAUGGAUUAUUUAUAUCUAAAUAAUUAUAAAAUUAAAAAUUAAUAUUUAAUACAUACAAUCUAAAAUAUCUAAAAAUUAGGCAUAAAUUAUUAUAUAUUUUAAAGUUUUAUUAAUUAAAACACAAACUUAUGAAUUUACAAUCUGAACCCGAACGGGGUGUUAAGAUCAGCAUUAUUGUUUGUAAUCAAAACUUAUAUAUCUGAUACAAUUAAUCGCAUGUGAAAAGGUCUCUAAAACUUCCUUAUUUAAUUAACUAAAAUAUAUUAUUAUUUACUUUAUAAAAAAUAUAUUUAAUUAUUUAUAAAGAAGAUAAAUGAAUCCGUUGCGUAGCACGGGUUCCUUAACUAGUACUUAUGAAUUGGGAACCGGGAGUUCCCUGGCCCGCCACGUGGAUGGCGGUCGCGAGGGGUGCGAGGGGGCGGGCGCGAGUGGGGGUGCGACCGCUCGAGCGAAUGCUAGCACGCGCGCAGGCGCGGCCGUGGGCCCAGGCGCGGGGAUNUAAGUUUAGAGAAAAAAAAAAAUAAAUAAAUAAACUAGAUGCAGAUAUGGUUAUUCUUGAAUAUUUUUUUAAAAGCUCUCUAAUGCGCUGACAAUUAUAAACGGUAAUAUGUCGGGAGCGUAGAAAGAUUUCGCUAAAGCAUUGCCUCCAUUUGUGGCCUGGUCUAUAGACCGGGUCUAGGGAACAACUUGGAACGCUGUGACCAAUCAGAGCUGCGGUUGGGAUCUGGACAGGUGAAACAAAACGUGAACAAGUCUUUCGCUCUUUUUUAUUUUUAUUUCCCUUUUCUAACCCUUCUUAUUUUAUUUUAGAGUGUUAUCGGCCACAUACAAAAAAUAAAUUUUAAAUUUAAAUUUUGAUGGGUUGUGGUUGAAUUAUAGUUAGACAUAAAUAAAUAUAUUUUUAUCGGUUUUAUAGUAAUUAUAAUUAAAACACAAAAUUACAAAUUUAGAAUCUCAGAAGUAGGGAUGUCGAUGGGUAUGGAUACUUGAAAUAUUAUUCGAAUUUGGACCCGAACGGGCUAGGUUUACUAGAGUCACUUCCGGCUUGUCGCGGAAGCAAUCGGUGAACCUCCCGGAGAGCAGGGUCAAUUAUAAUAACUACAGAGCCAUCAGAAAUAUAUAGUAUAUAUGCACAUUAUUUUAUGACGAAAAAUAUCUAUACAAUUUCCUUAUUUAAUUAAGUAAAAUUUAUUAUUUAUUAAUUAUUUAUAAAAAAAUAAAAGAACUCGUUGCGUAGCACGGGUUCCUUAACUAGUUAUUCCUAUGAAAGAGUAAAAAAUUUUAAAAAAUUUAAAAUUAUGGCUUGGACCGGUCAAGAAUAGUAGUGAUGUUCAAUCAAACUUAUCUCAAUAUCAUCAAACUAGAUUUGACUAUCAAACCUUUACAAAUUUGAUUUUAUUAUUUAAUCUUUUAAUUUAUUAGAUCCGAGCCAAUUAAUGACUCUUUAAAUUUAAAUUUUGAAUAUUUUAUUUAUUUUUAUAGAUUUAGUAUGAACUAGACUGGAAUACUAUCAAUAGCACAAAACUAUUGGUGCUAUUAGGUUUUUGGCCCUUGAAUGAAAAAAUAUACGGUUAGGAUGAUGUGAGCCCCCUAAGGUUGAGCAAGUUAUUGGUUGAAUAGUAUAAUCUAACAGGUGAAAAUAGUCAAAGAGCUAAAUCUAACGGCGGAAAAUUCAAUAGCACCAAACGCUUGGUGCUAUAGAUAGUAUCCCAGCCGGACUUGACUUAAUAUAUUUUUUACAGUUUACAUAAUUUACAAAAUAAGCAAUUAGCUAAAAUUAUAAAACCGAAGAGCCAUCAAAAUGUUUAAAUCAAAUAAAUUAAAAAGUUGGGUACUAAUAUUAAAAUUUUGAAAAAUUGAAUAGUUGAAUCAAAAUUAUAUAUAUUUCAAACAAGUUUUUUAAUAUCUUUACCCAUUUUAUAAUAAUUUGAAUAAAUGCACACCUAUUGUACGCCCUAAUAAGUAGACCUCCUGGUUGUUCGUACCAGGGAUGUCAGUAAGUAUGGAUAUCCGAAAUUUUAUCCAAACACAAAUCCUAGUCCGAAUGCGUCAUGCCUGGGCCCCAGCGGAAGCCUACUUGGAUAGGCCCGCCAUAUGCCCGGUGUAUACAAGGUGUCUACAGUAAACAUGUUAGAAGUAAUACAAGGAGAUGGAAACAGCUAACAUGAUAUCAGAGCAUACAUCAUAAUCUACUCUCUAAUUAAUGACAAGUAAAAAAGAAAGUGGAACUACAACCAUAACAUCUUCAAAGUACAAAUAUACAUCAAGUAGCUACAAAGUAAUCAACCAACAACACAGGGUCGUCACUAUACAUCCAGGACAAAACAUCUUUCCAGCUAGCUAAAGAAAAGGCAACCACCUAACAGGAACUCCAAGCUAUGCCUAGCUAGACGCGACCCCCUUACCGCGAUCCCUAGCCUCCCCCGCUGUGGAUGACUCUGUAAACAAAAACAACAACAAACUGGGCAUGAGAACUAUUAGUCGAUAGUUCCCAGUGGGUAAGCCGCCGACAUCAGCGAAUUACACCACUAGGUCUGUCACGUCCCGCUAUCGCCAAUUUGGUCGACUCGGACCCGUACACAGACGCCGAAUGGACAGCACCUCCCCUGUCCGCCCAAGGCUUAACAACUAAAAGUACAUGUAUAGAGAAAGAAAUAAUCCCAGAAUAACAUUGCAAUAUACAUGGCUUGCACGAGGGCAAGCAACAAGCACAAGUAAAAGUAAACUAACUAAACCAUUCAUACAUUGUAUCUUGAUUACUUUAAAUCAAAUACAAAGCUUACCAUUUGAUCACAUACAUACAUUCCUCAAUAUAUAUACAACUGCUAUCUCUCAAAUGAAUAAUUUACAUUUGCUUUCAUCAACUAUAAAUAAUUUGAAUCAAAGAUUAUAAAAAAUAAUAUAUAGUAUGAUCAAACCAUCUCUAACUGCAGCAAACAUGAAAAUCCUAUUGUAACUAGUUUCUUGAAGGAACUUUACAUAUAUUGUACUCUUGCAGACACUAAAAUCAGUAUAUGAUAUAUCUUUUCAGAAAGUAAAAUUCUAAGUGUUUCAUAUGUAUAUGCAUAGCUUUUUCUCUACUGAUCAGUUUUGUCAGUGGACAAAAAGUGUCCAAACAUGAUAUUAGAAGUUCAACACGACUUAAUUAAAAUUGGAAUUCAUUUAAUUCCAAUAUCUAUAACAAAGACUUUAACAUAAACUCAAGUUAGUACAUGAUAUAACAUCUCACUAAAAGCAUUCCAAACCUCAGUAAAGUAACUAAAGACAUUAACAUAAGAUGUACCAACCUCAGUAAGGGGACCUGCCAGCGUUCACGAGGAGGGUGGGGACCGAUGCGGCGGCCGCGGAGCUGGAGGCGGCGGCGUGCAGAGCUGGAGGCACGGCUGUGAAACUGGAGGCGGCGGUGCGCAGAGUUGGAGGCGAUGGUCGUGAAGCUGGAGGCGAUGGCGUACGGAGCUGGAGGCGACGGCUGCAAAGCUUAAGGCGGCGGCGUGCGAAGUUGGAGGCGGCUGCCGCGAAGCUUGAGGCAGCGACGCGCGGUCUUGGAGGCGGCCAUCGCAGAUCUGAAGGCGGCUGCGUUCGGAUCUGGAGGCGGCGGUUGCGGAUCUGGAGGCGACGGCGUGCGGACCUGGAGGCGGCGUGCGGAGCUAGAGGCGGCGGCUGCAAAGUUAGAGGAGGCGACGCGCGGAGGUGGAGGCGGGCGAGUGAUGGAAGUGAGGGGGGAGGGGAAGAGGAGGAUGUGUUGAGGAGGAAGAGUCGGAGGAGAGGGAAGAGGUGGGGGCGGCGGUUUCCUUGGGAAAAAAAAGGGGGAAAAAAUGAGGGGGAAACAUGGGGUAUUUUAACAUUUUAGGGUUUCGAUUUUUUUUAUUAUAUUUAGAGGCGGUUUUUAAAAACUGCCUCUAAACCGUCUCUAAUACGUGAAUUAUAGUGGCGGUUUUUUUACAAACCGCCUCUAAACCGCCUUUAAUACGAUUUUAUAGAGGCGAUUCCCACAACCGCCUCUAUAACAUCGCCUCUAAUAGUGGCGGAUUUUUAAAAUACAAUUUUAUAGAGACGGUUGUGGGAACCGCCGCUAAUACGAUUUUAUAGUGGCGGUUUUUAAAAACCGCCUCAAAACUGUCUCUAAUAUGAUUUUAUAGAGGCGGUUAUAAAAACCGCCUCUAGAGAACCGUCUCUAGAACCGCUUUUUCUUGUAGUGUAACAAUGUCACUUUAUCACUAUUUAAUAGUCCAAUACAAAUUCAUACAUCUAUAGAGUUCUAUGUUUUACUAGUCAUUGUCCACAUGCAUUUUGCUUCCAAAGCAUACAAUUAGAACACAUAUUGCACUUUACCAUAUGACAAUCACAACUCUAUCAUGUAUGAAUAUCAACUAAACAUGUAUAAUCCAUGUAUGCUCAAUAAAAGUGAUAUAAACAUAAUAGGUCAUUCGAUAAUUUCAGAAAGCAUCACCCACCUUUAAAUGAUAUCGAGAUGCGAGAAAACCAAUUCCCGCAAUUUAUGAACAAUCACAAUCCUCGCUCGCGACAUACGAAGCUAAAAUGAGAUUUUUUCUCAUUAGCUUGCCAUAGGCUAAUCGGAACGUUGAUCCAAGUUUUCCAACUCAUGAGUUUUAUUCUCAAUUAGGAUUUUACGCGGUUAAUUUCGAACUAAGCCUCCAAUCCUACAAAUUAGCAUUUUCGAGUUAAAGUUCCAUACAAUCUGCUACUAUACAAACUUCACAAAAUAUAUAGAGUAACUUAACUCUAAGAACCUCAUAAUCAAGUAAUCUAGGAAUACAAGAGAUCAAACUCAUGCUACACUUUAAUUCAUGUUUCAACAACUCUUACAUUUAAUCCAAGUUUACAUACAUGUUAUUAACAUAGUGUGAUGUCUAAGCUGUUAUGGCAACUUUAAGCUUUAAAAAUCCAAAUUCUAUAACUUAAACCCUUUCUUUUAGCUUAAAUAUCCUAACCACAAUCAGGAAUUAAGACCCACUUACCUCAGGUUCCAUUUCAAAGCAAGAAAUCACAUGCACAUCAUACAUGUAGCUCGUUAUAGAUUUCUUAUGGCAAUUAGAAGCUUUAGCAACCAUAGCUUAUAGCUUAGACCCUUUUAUUUGAGCAAUUAUCCUAACUCGAACCAGGAAUAGAGCAUCAUUUCUCAUCAGGUGUUAUUUCUACUAACAAUUCCCAUGCAAACUAUUCAACCUAUAGCUGAUUAUAGGUUUUAUCAUAAUAAUCUAAGCUCUAGAAGUCAAUACAAUCCAUAGUUCAACCCUUUUAUACAACAAUUAUCAUAACUCUAACCAGGAAUACUCUUAUCUGACCUCGAAGGGGUGCUAACUCCCUCUCAGCUCAAAACUACGUUCAAGAACUCACUCCACAAGGCUGAAUUUGCUGUUUACAAAUAGGUCCCUGCAGCUUUUUGCAUUUAACGGCAGCAAUAGCAGUAUUCGGCAGUAACAACAGCAGCAUUCAGCAGUAACAGCAGCAGUAGCAAUUGCACCUAAAACCUCCCAAAAAAUAGGAAUUUUGCUUUUACAAAACAGUCCCUGCAGCUUUUACAAAACAAUCCCUGCAGCUUUUUAGUGCAAAAUCUGCACUGGCAGCACUUGUUCCAAUAUAAUUUCAUACUUCCACUUCGUUCCGAACCCCUUUAAACCCUUCUAAACUUGUAAUUAGUUACCCCCACACGACCAAUUUAGCUCGGGGACUAACUCAUUUAUAUUCUUUCAUUCUUUGACCACUUUGAUCAAAGUUAGUCUUGUAGUUGGAGAUUCGAUAUAUUAUAGUUUCUCUUUAGGUUUUCAUGACAAUUAUAAAUACUAGCAUCAAAGAACUCCAAGCCAAACCUUUCUAUAGAGUAAUUACUCUAAACUUAUCAUGGAAAUAGCAACCUUCAUCUCAAGUCUCACUUCUAACAACCAUUCACAUGUAUACUACACCUACAUACACAUGACAUAUGGCUUGUCUUCUAGGUUUCAUAGCAAUUAAAGGCUCUAGUAAUCAAGAAUUCUUUUGUUCCACCCUUUUAUAGAGUAAAUAACAUCACUCUUAACCAGGAAUUCACAUCACCUAAUCUCAUAUUUCAGCUACCAGCUGAAUUCAUAUAGUUCUACUAGGUUUCUUCAUAGAACUACAUGCUAAUAGCAAGUUGUAACCUCUAAGAGAUCCAAAACUCCCCUCUUUAUAUAGCAGCUAUCACAACCCCAUCCAAAAGAACAGCAAACCUACCUUAGAUUUGAUGCUCCCACAAGUUUUCUUCUCAGUUGUAGACCUUUCUCUCAGCUCAAAACCAAACUCCACCAAUUUCUUCCUUCAAAACCCCUUCGAACAGUUUCUAGAGAGAGAGGAAGAAGGAGAUAAGAAGGAGGAAUGAAGGAGCUGGUUCCCUGCCUAAGAACCACGUAUGCAGGUUGGGGUUCAAAGAUAAUACCGAAACAAUUGCAAUUAACCCUCCUACACAAGCUGAAAUUACUCUUUACUAAUCUGUUCCUAAUUCAGAAUCUGAUACUUUUCGCUGGAGCCCUUCUGAAUAUCUGUUUGCUCUCAAAUUUGACAGUCAGACUCGAUUAAAAUUAAUAAGAAGAACGAUAUCUUAAUUUUUCAGUUUGGACCAUUUUUUGUCACCGAAAUCUCUACCGACUAAAAUUUCUAACAGAUAACAAUUAGAUUUUAUUUUUCACUUUUCGGGUGUCAGAAUGACAUGAAACUUUAAAUAUAGCCUCAUAAAAAUAAUUUUGACAUAUUCUCCAAUUUUCAUAAUUUUCUGACACUGUGAAUUUUCUGCUAAAAUAUCAGCCCCGUUUCUUACCGAAAAUUUUAAAUCUUCUGUUUUCAUUCCAAUUUCAGUACAAAUCAUUUCCAACUUAUAUUUUACUUCUCUAAAUCCAAUAAAAAUAGUAUCUUACACUAUUUUUAUUUACAUCUACUUUUAUAUUAAAAGUCCGGUCUAUUACAAGGUCCCUAAGGCAUAAAUAAUAAAC
rnacentral:lncRNA from 1 species